rnacentral:rRNA from 1 species
GAUGAACGCUGGCGGCGUGCCUAAUACAUGCAAGUCGAGCGAACAGACGAGGAGCUUGCUCCUCUGACGUUAGCGGCGGACGGGUGAGUAACACGUGGAUAACCUACCUAUAAGACUGGGAUAACUUCGGGAAACCGGAGCUAAUACCGGAUAAUAUAUUGAACCGCAUGGUUCAAUAGUGAAAGACGGUUUUGCUGUCACUUAUAGAUGGAUCCGCGCCGCAUUAGCUAGUUGGUAAGGUAACAGCUUACCAAGGCAACGAUGCGUAGCCGACCUGAGAGGGUGAUAGGACACACUGGAACUGAGACACGGUCCAGACUCCUACGGGAGGCAGCAGUAGGGAAUCUUCCGAAAUGGGCGAAAGCCUGACGGAGCAACGCCGCGUGAGUGAUGAAGGUCUUCGGAUCGUAAAACUCUGUUAUUAGGGAAGAACAAAUGUGUAAGUAACUAUGCACGUCUUGACGGUACCUAAUCAGAAAGCCACGGCUAACUACGUG